UCAAGGUAGAAGCCUGCUCUCUCCGGGGGAAAUCCCACUUACUUUGCUGUGAAGCAAUGAGAAGCUCUCAGAUUAACUGUUCCCUCUCAGUGUCAGGUGUCUUCUAGAAAAACAGGUUGUUUUUCAGAGUGCUUCCUGGCCCAGCUCCUGGGUGACCUCGGACACACAGGAACCAAGUCCUGCAGUGAAAAGCAGUUUGGGUAAAAUGCAGAAGACAUUUGGGAAUGAAAGCGUCUGUUGGUGAAGAUCUGAAUCUUACUUUAUGGAAAGGAGGUUAAUUUUCCUCAUACUUACGACUUUGACACUUACACAUCUUUCAGCUAUUUUAGACAUCUAUUCCUGUUAAAGGAUGCACUGGCCCUAUUUUUGGAAGCCGGAUGACGCAGACGAAAGAUCAUGCCUUCAGCAAGGAUCUUUGAUCUUCUACAAGCGUGGCACCCAUUCAUUAUUUUAUUUAUAUGACCUCCUUCUCAACAUUCCUCUUCACACAUACUCUGUGAACAACUCUGUUAUUCCAUAAGAAUUGCCUGAGUCUUCACAGAAAGAUCUCGAGUUAAGCAGAGACGGCAAACUGUUCCAGGAAAGUUCUCAUCACUUUGUCUCUGGAAUAUUGAUUCCCCCUUGUCACUUGCUAAAGAGCCAGAUUUCUUGAGAGAGUCUGAGCAGGCAACUGCAGUUAGAAAUUAGUGCAGAUAUCAUUUUAAGGUCAUUUGAAUAUCCUUGUAAAGGAGAAGUUAUCCAGGUAGAUCACUGUCUUGGGAGAAGGAAAAUAAAAUGAUCUUGAUAGUCACGUGGGAAAGAGGCAGGAAAUAGACAAUAAUUCAGUAGAAUUCUUUAAAUGUGAUUCUGGUUGUUGUAUUGCUGGAAAACGGCAACUCGGCAAUGACUUAAAAGAGUCAGUACUUUGGAAACUUGAUUGUAUUGAUUGCACUUUCUUUGAUUGUAUCCCCUAGUAAUUUAACCAAGAGAUGCUCCACUUGCUCACUGUGCGAAGACAAAGUACCAGAGCUGAGAACCAAAUGAUGUGAUUAUCACAAGAAGCAAGGGAUCAGGGCAGUGGUCCAAGAAGAAGGUAGAAUCUUGCCAGAGAAGAAAGAUACUUCUAAAAUCAAUAGAUUGAUGAUUCACUCUGCAGCCAAGCUCUGCUGGGAAGUAAGAGAUAAAUACGCAUUUGUGAGAAUCAGAAUGCAAGUUAAAAAUAUCUGCAAAGCAGAGAACACUG